rnacentral:rRNA from 1 species
ACCUACGGGGCGCAGCAGUGGGGAAUAUUGGGCAAUGGACGCAAGUCUGACCCAGCAACGCCGCGUGAAGGAAGAAGGCUUUCGGGUUGUAAACUUCUUUUAAGGGGGAAGAGCAGAAGACGGUACCCCUUGAAUAAGCCACGGCUAACUACGUGCCAGCAGCCGCGGUAAUACGUAGGUGGCAAGCGUUGUCCGGAUUUACUGGGUGUAAAGGGCGUGUAGGCGGGAAUGCAAGUCAGAUGUGAAAACUAUGGGCUCAACCCAUAGCCUGCAUUUGAAACUGUAUUUCUUGAGUGCUGGAGAGG